AACGAACGCUGGCGGCAGGCCUAACACAUGCAAGUCGAACGGACGUAGCAAUACGUUAGUGGCGCACGGGAGAGUAACGCGUGGGAACCUACCUUUUGGUUCGGGAUAACAUCGGGAAACUGGUGCUAAUACCGGAUAAGCCCUUCGGGGGAAAGAUUUAUUGCCGAAAGAUGGGCCCGCGUUGGAUUAGCUAGUUGGUGAGGUAAUGGCUCACCAAGGCAACGAUCCAUAGCUGGUCUGAGAGGAUGAUCAGCCUCACUGGGACUGAGACACGGCCCAGACUCCUAUGGGAGGCAGCAGUGGGGAAUAUUGGACAAUGGGGGAAACCCUGAUCCAGCCAUGCCGCGUGGAUGAUGAAGGCCUUCGGGUUGUAAAGUUCUUUUGGUGGGGACGAUGAUGACGGUACCCACAGAAUAAGCUCCGGCUAACUUCGUGCCAGCAGCCGCCGUAA
rnacentral:rRNA from 1 species